CGUCACCUCCACUUGAAAACAUCAAGAUGGCGUCGCCGGGAGUACUUCAAACUUAAAAUCAGAUCAAAUGUAUAUCAAGUGUUAUCCAUCCUUGAUAACACCUCCACAAAUAGAGACUGGAACUUCUGAGCACCAUCACCUUGUCUGCUUUGGGACUGUCAUAGGAGAAUGAUGCAGUACUAUUCUGUGUUGAAUUUACAAAACGUCAGUACACAGACAUAGUUUUGUUCCAGUUUUGCUGUGCUCAUGUCUUCUUUGUGUCCCCAGCCCAGCAAUCAGAUGCAUCAGAACAACAAAGCACAACUGUGGUGGACCAGGCACCUUCAGCAACAAAGAUUUAACAACACUGUCAGUCAGGAGCAUAUUUAACAGGAGCCACACUCAACUGGCUUGAUGGUGACUUCAGUAAGUGUGGUUGACCCUCUUGUUUUUGUGGCUAUAAUAAUUAGGCUAAGUAAUCUCACUCUCUUCCAUUUCCCUAACAUGAAACUUUUGACUGAAACAUGAAAAUGGUACUUAACCGGUGCAGUGAAGAUAUUUAAAGAAACACUAUCACUAUCUAAAGUACAGAAAGCCUUACAUCAUCUCUAGGUGCAGUCACCUACAGCGCAGCCAGCUUCACAAAGACUGUGGGGCUGGUCACCAGGAAAAUGGACAACAGGGAGUGCUUUUGGGGUUUUACUCCUCAAAUGAUCACCCUGGCUACUGUAGCUGGGAUUGCUUCACAGACGAUGGAGGUCUUGAAGAGUCAAGUGUGCGUGCGUGCGCACACAUUGUGUUUUUACUGUAACAAUUAUGGUCACUUGCAGUUAAUUUGU